GAUGAACGCUGGCUACAGGCUUAACACAUGCAAGUCGAGGGGAAACGACGGGGAAGCUUGCUUCCCCGGGCGUCGACCGGCGCACGGGUGAGUAACGCGUAUCCAACCUGCCUCUGACUGAGGGAUAACCCGUCGAAAGUCGGCCUAAUACUCCUUGCCUUCCCCUCCGGCAUUCAAACACCGUUAAAAGUUUUCUCCGGCAAGAGUUGGGAUGCCUCUUAUUAGCUUGUUGGCGGGGUUACGGCCCCCCAAGGCGACGGUCAGUAGGGGUUCUGAGAGGAAGGUCCCCCACAUUGGAACUGAGACACGGUCCAAACUCCUACGGGAGGCAGCAGUGAGGAAUAUUGGUCAAUGGGCGAGAGCCUGAACCAGCCAAGUAGCGUGCAGGAUGACGGCCCUAUGGGUUGUAAACUGCUUUUAUGCGGGGAUAAAGUGAGGGACGUGUCCUUCAUUGCAGGUACCGCAUGAAUAAGGACCGGCUAAUUCCGUG
rnacentral:rRNA from 1 species